GCUGACGAGUGGCGGACGGGUGAGUAAUGCUUGGGGAUCUGGCUUAUGGAGGGGGAUAACGACGGGAAACUGUCGCUAAUACCGCGUAGAAUCGGGAGAUGAAAGUGUGGGACCUUCGGGCCACAUGCCAUAGGAUGAACCCAAGUGGGAUUAGGUAGUUGGUGGGGUAAUGGCCUACCAAGCCGACGAUCUCUAGCUGGUCUGAGAGGAUGACCAGCCACACCGGGACUGAGACACGGCCCGGACUCC
rnacentral:rRNA from 1 species